rnacentral:rRNA from 1 species
UACGGGGGGGGCAAGCGUUGUUCGGAAUUACUGGGCGUAAAGGGCUCGUAGGUGGCCAACUAAGUCAGACGUGAAAUCCCUCAGCUUAACUGGGGAACUGCGUCUGAUACUGGAUGGCUUGAGUUUGGGAGAGGGAUGCGGAAUUCCAGGUGUAGCGGUGAAAUGCGUAGAUAUCAGGAAGAACACCCGUGGCGAAGGCGGCUCUCUGGAACGCAACUGACGCUGAGACGCGAAAGCGUGGGGAGCAAACAGG